UACAGAGGUCUCAAGCGUUGUUCGGAUUCAUUGGGCGUAAAGGGUGCGUAGGCGGCGCGGUAAGUUGGGUGUGAAAUCUCGGAGCUUAACUCCGAAACUGCAUUCGAUACUGCCGUGCUUGAGGACUGGAGAGGAGACUGGAAUUUACGGUGUAGCGGUGAAAUGCGUAGAUAUCGUAAGGAAGACCAGUGGCGAAGGCGGGUCUCUGGACAGUUCCUGACGCUGAGGCGCGAAGGUCAGGGGAGCAAACGGG
rnacentral:rRNA from 1 species